rnacentral:rRNA from 1 species
GAUGAACGCUGGCGGCGUGCCUAAUACAUGCAAGUCGAGCGAACGGACGAGAAGCUUGCUUCUCUGAUGUUAGCGGCGGACGGGUGAGUAACACGUGGAUAACCUACCUAUAAGACUGGGAUAACUUCGGGAAACCGGAGCUAAUACCGGAUAAUAUUUUGAACCGCAUGGUUCAAACGUGAAAGACGGUCUUGCUGUCACUUAUAGAUGGAUCCGCGCUGCAUUAGCUAGUUGGUAAGGUAACGGCUUACCAAGGCAACGAUGCAUAGCCGACCUGAGAGGGUGAUCGGCCACACUGGAACUGAGACACGGUCCAGACUCCUACGGGAGGCAGCAGUAGGGAAUCUUCCGCAAUGGGCGAAAGCCUGACGAAGCAACGCCGCGUGAGUGAUGAAGGUCUUCGGAUCGUAAAACUCUGUUAUUAGGGAAGAACAUAUGUGUAAGUAACUGUGCACAUCUUGACGGUACCUAAUCAGAAAGCCACGGCUAACUACGUG